UAGAGAGGAGUGGGCGUGGCGAAAGGUUUGGUCCUGCCUUGCCUAGUUCAGAACUCAUCCUGUGGCCCUUCAUAUCCGUUCCCAAGGCUCGUUCACGUUGCCUCCUUGCCUCUGGGUCAACUUUCAGCAAGCUGCUCAGGUUAAGGAGUCAGGGGCUCUCUUACAGAGAGAAACUUCUUCACCCAGGCUCAAGCAAAAUGGAAGGAAGGACGGAAAGAAGGAACGAAUGAACGAACGAACGGACAAUAAAUGUCUCAGUAGACGCUGCUGAUGAGAUUUCAGGACAUUUUCUACGUGCUGCUCCAUAAAGAAUUUAAAUGCCUGAGG